rnacentral:misc_RNA from 1 species
GAUGAAGAACGUAGCGAAAUGCGAUACGUAAUGUGAAUUGCAGAAUUCAGUGAAUCAUCGAAUCUUUGAACGCAUAUUGCGCUCUCUGGUAUUCCGGAGAGCAUGCUUGUUUGAGUAUCAGUAAACACCUCAACUCCCUUUUCUUUUUUGAAAUGGGAGCUGGACUUGAGUGAUCCCAACACUUUUCUCACUGGAAAGUGGCGGGUCACUUGAAAUGCAGGUGCAGCUGUACUUUUCUCUGAGCUAUAAGCAUAUCUAUUUAGUCUGCCUAAAAAACAGAUUAUUACCUUUGCUGCAGCUAACAUAAAGGAGAUGAGUUCUUGUGCUGACUGAUGCAGGAUUCACAGAGACAGCUUUGCGGCUGACUUUGUAAACUCGAUCUCAAAUCAAGUAAGACUACCCGCUGAACUUAAGCAUAUCAAUAAGCGGAGGA